rnacentral:lncRNA from 1 species
UUUUUGUAAUAGAUCUAUAUGUUAUAAACUUAUCUAUUGAAUGUGAAAAACGCAUCUGGAAAAUCGAAGAUAGUAAUUUUUGAUAAGUUUGAGACAUGAUUAUUUGUAAUGACCUUGGUAUUGCUUCUUUAAAAAUUUGCAAUGGAACGUUUUGUUUGCUUCCUUGUUCUAUUUUCUGUCACAAAGGCGGCAGUUACUCCGAAUCUUUGUUGCUCAAAACAUUCAUUAACAGCUGAUCUUCACCAGGUCACUGGAUCAUACGUUAAUGGUACUCCUUCUACCCUGGAGGU